rnacentral:rRNA from 1 species
UACGAAGGGGGCUAGCGUUGUUCGGAAUCACUGGGCGUAAAGCGCACGUAGGCGGAUCUUUAAGUCAGGGGUGAAAUCCCGAGGCUCAACCUCGGAACUGCCUUUGAUACUGGGGAUCUCGAGUCCGGGAGAGGUGAGUGGAACUGCGAGUGUAGAGGUGAAAUUCGUAGAUAUUCGCAAGAACACCAGUGGCGAAGGCGGCUCACUGGCCCGGAACUGAUGCUGAGGUGCGAAAGCGUGGGGAGCAAACAGG